UACGAAGGGGGCUAGCGUUGUCCGGAAUUAUUGGGCGUAAAGAGCUCGUAGGCGGCUUGUCACGUCGGGUGUGAAAGCCCGGGGCUUAACCCCGGGUCUGCAUUCGAUACGGGCUAGCUAGAGUGUGGUAGGGGAGAUCGGAAUUCCUGGUGUAGCGGUGAAAUGCGCAGAUAUCAGGAGGAACACCGGUGGCGAAGGCGGGUCUCUGGGCCGAUACUGACGCUGAGGAGCGAAAGCGUGGGGAGCGAACAGG
rnacentral:rRNA from 1 species